GCUGGGAGUAGUGGCGCAUGCCUGUAAUCCCAGCUACUUCUGAGGCUGAAGUGGAGGAUCAUUUGAGCCCAGGAGUUAGAGAUCAGCUUGGGCUACACAGCAAGACACUGU
rnacentral:sRNA from 1 species